AGUGAACGCUGGCGGUAGGCCUAACACAUGCAAGUCGAACGGCAGCACAGUAAGAGCUUGCUCUUACGGGUGGCGAGUGGCGGACGGGUGAGGAAUACAUCGGAAUCUACUUUUUCGUGGGGGAUAACGUAGGGAAACUUACGCUAAUACCGCAUACGACCUACGGGUGAAAGCAGGGGAUCUUCGGACCUUGCGCGAUUGAAUGAGCCGAUGUCGGAUUAGCUAGUUGGCGGGGUAAAGGCCCACCAAGGCGACGAUCCGCAGCUGGUCUGAGAGGAUGAUCAGCCACACUGGAAAUGAGACACGGUCCAGACUCCUACGGGAGGCAGCAGUGGGGAAUAUUGGACAAUGGGCGCAAGCCUGAUCCAGCCAUACCGCGUGGGUGAAGAAGGCCUUCGGGUUGUAAAGCCCUUUUGUUGGGAAAGAAAAGCAGCAGGUUAAUACCCCGCUGUUCUGACGGUACCCAAAGAAUAAGCACCGGCUAACUUCGUG
rnacentral:rRNA from 1 species